GACGAACGCUGGCGGCGUGCUUAACACAUGCAAGUCGAACGGAAAGGCCCUGCUUUUGUGGGGUGCUCGAGUGGCGAACGGGUGAGUAACACGUGAGUAACCUGCCCUUGACUUUGGGAUAACUUCAGGAAACUUGGGCUAAUACCGGAUAGGAGCUCCUGCUGCAUGGUGGGGGUUGGAAAGUUUCGGCGGUUGGGGAUGGACUCGCGGCUUAUCAGCUUGUUGGUGGGGUAGUGGCUUACCAAGGCUUUGACGGGUAGCCGGCCUGAGAGGGUGACCGGCCACAUUGGGACUGAGAUACGGCCCAGACUCGUACGGGAGGCAGCAGUGGAGAAUAUUGCACAAUGGGCGGAAGCAUGAUGCAGCAACGCCGCGUGGGGGAUGACGGCCUUCGGGUUGUGAACCGCUUUCGCCUGUGACGAAGCGUGAGUGACGGUAAUGGGUAAAGAAGCACCGGCUAACUACGUG
rnacentral:rRNA from 1 species